CCUACGGGAGGCAGCAGUGGGGAAUAUUGCACAAUGGGGGGAACCCCCGUCCCAGCCAUGCCCGCGUGUAGAAGAAAGCCCUUCGGGUGGUAAACUACUUUAAGGGGGGGGGAAGGCAUUAAGGUUAAUAUCCUUGGUGAUGGACGUUACUCGCAGAAGAAGCACCGGCUAACUCCGUGCCAGCAGCCGCGGUAAU
rnacentral:rRNA from 2 species